UAGGGAAUCUUCCACAAUGGACGAAAGUCUGAUGGAGCAACGCCGCGUGAGUGAAGAAGGGUUUCGGCUCGUAAAACUUUGUUGUUAAAGAAGAACAUAUCUGAGAGUAACUGUUCAGGCAUUGACGGUAUUUAACCAGAAAGCCACGGCUAACUACGCGCCAG
rnacentral:rRNA from 1 species